rnacentral:rRNA from 1 species
CUUAGGGAGGAGCUUGCGUCACAUUAGUUAGUUGGUGGGGUAAAGGCCUACCAAGACUAUGAUGUGUAGCCGGGCUGAGAGGUUGAACGGCCACAUUGGGACUGAGACACGGCCCAAACUCCUACGGGAGGCAGCAGUAGGGAAUUUUCGGCAAUGGAGGAAACUCUGACCGAGCAACGCCGCGUGAACGAUGAAGUAUUUCGGUACGUAAAGUUCUUUUAUUAGGGAAGAAUAAAUGAUGGAAAAAUCAUUCUGACGGUACCUAAUGAAUAAGCCCCGGCUAACUAUGUGCCAGCAGCCGCGGUAAUACAUAGGGGGCAAGCGUUAUCCGGAAUUAUUGGGCGUAAAGGGUGCGUAGGCUGUUAAAUAAGUUUAUGGUCUAAGUGCAAUGCUCAACAUUGUGAUGCUAUAAAAACUGUUUAGCUAGAGUAAGAUAGAGGCAAGUGGAAUUCCAUGUGUAGUGGUAAAAUGCGUAAAUAUAUGGAGGAACACCAGUAGCGAAGGCGGCUUGCUGGGUCUUUACUGACGCUGAGGCACGAAAGCGUGGGGAGCAAACAGGAUUAGAUACCCUGGUAGUCCACGCCGUAAACGAUGAGUACUAAACGUUGGGUAAAACCAGUGUUGAAGUUAACACAUUAAGUACUCCGCCUGAGUAGUACGUACGCAAGUAUGAAACUUAAAGGAAUUGACGGGACUCCGCACAAGCGGUGGAUCAUGUUGUUUAAUUCGAAGGUACCCGAAAAACCUCACCAGGUCUUGACAUGCUUCUGCAAAGCUGUAGAAACACAGUGGAGGUUAUCAGUUGCACAGGUGGUGCAUGGUUGUCGUCAGCUCGUGUCGUGAGAUGUUGGGUUAAGUCCCGCAACGAGCGCAACCCUUNNUGUUAGUUGCCANCACGUAAUGGUGGGGNCUUUAGCA